rnacentral:RNase_P_RNA from 1 species
GAGAGUAGGUGAGGUGGUUGCGAGUUCGCUAGUCGAAUUCGAGGAAAGUCCGGGCUUCCGAAAGACCAAACUUGCUGGGUAAUUCCCAGUGCGAGCGAUCGUGAGGAUAGUGCCACAGAAAAAUACCGCCACAAGAAGUGGAUGGUGGACAGUGAAUGGUGGAUAGCGAAUAACCAUUCACCAUUCACCAUUCACCAUUCACUUCCUACGGUAAGGGUGCAAAGGUGCGGUAAGAGCGCACCAGCAGUAUCGAGAGGUACUGGCUCGGUAAACCCCAGUUGGAAGCAAGGCAGGAGCUAUGGUUGGUCUUUUCCCUGUUCCGUUCGAGAUCCGCUUGAGGUACUUGGUAACAAACUACCCAGAUAGAUAACCGCCGUCUCGCAAGAGAUAACAAAACCCGGCUUACGUUCGACUCUCUCUC